rnacentral:tRNA from 1 species
GCCUCGGUAGCUCAGGUGGUAGAGCAGCGGACUGAAAAUCCGCGUGUCGGUGGUUCGAAUCCGCCCCGAGGCACCA